GAUGAACGCUGGCGGCGUGCCUAAUACAUGCAAGUCGAGCGAACGGACGAGAAGCUUGCUUCUCUGAUGUUAGCGGCGGACGGGUGAGUAACGCGUGGAUAACCUACCUAUAAGACUGGGAUAACUUCGGGAAGCCGGAGCUAAUACCGGAUAAUAUUUUGAACCGCAUGGUUCAAAAGUGAAAGACGGUCUUGCUGUCACUUAUAGAUGGAUCCGCGCUGCAUUAGCUAGUUGGUAAGGUAACGGCUUACCAAGGCAACGAUGCAUAGCCGACCUGAGAGGGUGAUCGGCCACACUGGAACUGAGACACGGUCCAGACUCCUACGGGAGGCAGCAGUAGGGAAUCUUCCGCAAUGGGCGAAAGCCUGACGGAGCAACGCCGCGUGAGUGAUGAAGGUCUUCGGAUCGUAAAACUCUGUUAUUAGGGAAGAACAUAUGUGUAAGUAACUGUGCACAUCUUGACGGUACCUAAUCAGAAAGCCACGGCUAACUACGUG
rnacentral:rRNA from 1 species